rnacentral:rRNA from 1 species
GGACCCGCACAAGCGGUGGAGCAUGUGGUUUAAUUCGAAGAUACGCGCAGAACCUUACCAACACUUGACAUGUUCGUCGCGACUUUAAGAGAUUAAAGUUUUCGGUUCGGCCGGACGAAACACAGGUGCUGCAUGGCUGUCGUCAGCUCGUGUCGUGAGAUGUUGGUUAAGUCCCGCAACGAGCGCAACCCUCACUUUUAGUUGCCAUCAUUUAGUUGGGCACUCUGAAAGAACUGCCAGUGAUAAGCUGGAGGAAGGUGGGGAUGACGUCAAGUCCUCAUGGCCCUUACGUGUUGGGCUACACACGUGCUACAAUGGUAGGUACAGAGAGCAGCCAAUGCGCGAGCAUGAG